UGCCCCCCCCAAGCCAGGAAUGCCAGCAGCAUCCUACCCAGUGCAGUACCCAUCACCUUACCCGGCCCAGCCCAUGGGCCCGCCGGCCUACUUCGAGACCCUGGCUGGAGGAGCAGCCACGCCCUACCCCACCAGCCAGCCUCCUUCCAACCCAGACUACAUGGAUGCCCCGAAGGCGGCCCCCUGAGCAUGCCCUGGCCUCUCUGGCUGCCACUUGGUCAUGUCAUGUGUGUGUGAGUGGUGUGCAGGCACGGUUCCUUAUGCCCCGUGUGUGCUAUGUGUGUCCUGUCUGUAUACGUGGCUUCCUCUGAUGCCGACUAGGUGGGGAGUGAUCCUUGCCAGCAGAGUGGGUUGGGACCAGACUUUGUUAUCUUCCUCACCUGAAAUUAUGCUUCCUAAAAUCUCAAGCCAAACUCGAAGAAUGGGGUGGUGGGGGCACCCUGGGAGGUGGCCCCUGAGAGGUGGAGGGCUCUCCAGGGCACAUCUGGAGUUCUUUUCCAGCUUCCCCUAG
rnacentral:lncRNA from 1 species